GAGGCUGGUGUCUGUGAUGUGCUUUUGU
rnacentral:piRNA from 1 species